AUGAAAACAAACCUUAGUCCUUCCUCUUUCCUUCACCCCUGGCAUUUAGUGGAAAUGCUGAUGGGCCUGGAAUGGGUGUCCAGCAGCCUUGGUGAUGUCCCUGCAGUGAGGAAAAGGCCUGGCUCAUGUUGGCUCAUCUUUAGUCAUGGCACUGUUCAUCCCUCUUGCCAUCCCAGCUCCUGGAGGGAACCUUCUUUGUGGGGACCCAACGUACUGCUCCAAUGACCACAGCCUUGGCACAUACUGUGACUUCAGCCAUGACUUACAAAAUUUGUGUUCACCUGAAGCAUCAGGGAAGCUGAGACAGGGAACUGAACAAUUGCAUGGAAAAGAUGCAGCCUAGUGGCACAAGGGUGAGGGGUCAGAGUGGAGCAUGGUCUUCUCUGGAAUCCCUGAACCCCUUUGUCCAUUAAAAAGUGGGAUCUGUGCUUCAGCUUUUCCUUUGGGCUCAUCUUUGUAACCCCUGUGAGUGGUGUGGGGGUCAGGUUGCUGCUGGUACAGCUGGGUUUGCAGAGGUUGAGGGGAUCCUGGACUGUUCCUCCUCCAAAACACCCCCAGCCGGGGUUUGGGCUGAGCCUACACCUUCCCCAGGAGGGGCUGCCAGCCUUGGCUGUAUCAUUGUAUGGGAGGGAGAGUCACCUAAUCACUUCCACGGCUGAAUAGCACCAUCAGCAUCUGGCUUUCUCUCUGAGCCACAGGGGCAGAUGCCACCUCCCUGGUGGUCAAGGACCAGGGGUCCUAAACCCCUCUUUGAAUCACUGACAGCCCAAAACAUUGGCACAGGCUUGGCUCUGCUUCCUAAAGAGCUCCCAUUGUUUCACUGGCCCCAGGAGCCAGGGAUUGUCUGCCUGAGAGCUGGCUCCUUUGGGCUCUUUCCAUUCAAAAAUCAAAUGUUUUCCUUGGAGGAAAGGUUCUGAAAAACUGAGAAUCCAGGAGCUGUGGUUCUGCUGCCUCCCACCUUGGUCACAGGGAUCCCUCUGAGCAAAGCCUGGGUC
rnacentral:lncRNA from 1 species